rnacentral:rRNA from 1 species
AGCGGCGGACGGGUGAGUAAUGCUUGGGAAUCUACCUAGUAGUGGGGGAUAACGUGUGGAAACGCACGCUAAUACCGCAUACGUCCUACGGGAGAAAGCAGGGGAUCUUCGGACCUUGCGCUAUUAGAUGAGCCCAAGUCGGAUUAGCUAGUUGGUGGGGUAAUGGCUCACCAAGGCUACGAUCCGUAGCUGGUCUGAGAGGAUGAUCAGCCACACUGGGACUGAGACACGGCCCAGACUCCUACGGGAGGCAGCAGUGGGGAAUAUUGCACAAUGGGCGAAAGCCUGAUGCAGCCAUGCCGCGUGUGUGAAGAAGGCUCUAGGGUUGUAAAGCACUUUCAGUAGGGAGGAACAGCUUAAGACUAAUACUCUUGAGCCUUGACGUUACCUACAGAAGAAGCACCGGCAAACUCCGUGCCAGCAGCCGCGGUAAUACGGAGGGUGCGAGCGUUAAUCGGAAUUACUGGGCGUAAAGCGCGCGUAGGUGGUUUGAUAAGCUAGCUGUGAAAGCCCCGGGCUCAACCUGGGAACUGCAGUUAGAACUGUCUGGCUAGAGUACAGUAGAGGGUGGCGGAAUUUCCUGUGUAGCGGUGAAAUGCGUAGAUAUAGGAAGGAUCAUCAGUGGCGAAGCGGCCACCUGGACUGAUACUGACACUGAGUGCGAAAGCGUGGGGAGCCAACAGAUAGAUACCCUGGUAGUCCACGCCGA